UUUCAAAUUGCUUCAGAAUAUUAAAAAACACCUACAUUGCGUUAAACAACCAUUUGAUUGGAUAACCUUUCUUUUUUUACUCGCCAGUGAGGGAUUAUACAAAAACUAAGAGUGCUGCACCAAACUUUGAUGAAUAAAUUACGCUUAUUGGGUUACUGUAAUUAGAGUACAGAAUACGUAGUUUCAAAUUGCUUCAGAAUAUUAAAAAACACCUACAUUGCGUUAAACAACCAUUUGAUUGGAUAACCUUUCUUUUUUUACUCGCCAGUGAGGGAUUAUACAAAAACUAAGAGGGCUGCACCAAACUUUGAUGAAUAAAUUACGCUUAUUGGGUUACUGUAAUUAGAGUACAGAAAAUGUAGUUUCAAAUUGCUUCAGAAUAUUAAAAAACACCUACAUUGCGUUAAACAACCAUUUGAUUGGAUAACCUUUCUUUUUUUACUCGCCAGUGAGGGAUUAUACAAAAACUAAGAGGGCUGCACCAAACUUUGAUGAAUAAAUUACGCUUAUUGGGUUACUGUAAUUAGAGUACAGAAAAUGUAGUUUCAAAUUGCUUCAGAAUAUUAAAAAACACCUACAUUGCGUUAAACAACCAUUUGAUUGGAUAACCUUUCUUUUUUUACUCGCCAGUGAGGGAUUAUACAAAAACUAAGACUGCUGCACCAAAUUUUGAUGAAUAAAUUACGCUUAUUGGGUUACUGUAAUUAGAGUACAGAAAAUGUAGUUUCAAAUUGCUUCAGAAUAUUAAAAAACACCUACAUUGCGUUAAACAACCA